CGCGCAUUCAGUGGAUGUGUCCCACGUGGAGAAGGCGAAGUUGGGAAGGGGCAGCCCUCGCGAAGGGCCACUUGGUCUGGGCACUUAUUCACUGGGGUGGAAUGGGAUGGCAGCGGAGCAGGGGACAGCCUAGGCUAAAAGGCCGCCCGGGGGCAGCCCCUCCAGAUCCGUCCUCAUAACGACCGGCGGGCUCUCCACCGCCACUCCCGCGUGGCCCGCGACUCAGACUCCCGGCGACUGGAAAGGACGGACGCGGCACUCCCGCCGGGGUCCCGGGACCCAAUGCGGGCGCGACAUGGGUCGGUCCGGCGCUGGGAGGCUGCGCCACGCGCGAGGACCGGGAUGCCUGGCCACCAGAAACGCCGCGCUAGUUUCAGAAACUACCACCUUCACAACUACAACAACAACAACAAAAAUUUAUAUAUGCCACAGUGAGAGCAUAACUCAUCCCAGUUUCCCUAAAUUCAAGUUACUUGAAGUCAGCUACUCGGUUAGGUUGACAUUCUUUUGAUGUUCAAUAUUGGUGAUCUGAACAUUAUGUUAAUCCUUCCUGAUUUCUUCAAUGAAAUAAUUAUCUGGCUGCAAACUACAAUUAAAUUAAUACGGUUUGAAGUG
rnacentral:lncRNA from 1 species